AUGCCCACGCGCCCACGCCAACGCCAACGCCGCCAUGUGUGGUGGCUAGAAUUCGAAAAGCCUCGACUUUCCGAUGCGAUUCCAACAGUAAGCUCGUUUUUUAUUUAUUUUUAUAAUAUUUGCAUGCUAUUCAGAGAAAGGAAAAAAUAUAUCACCUCUACUCUCGAUUGACUGUUGGUACUGUAACUUUGUAAAAACUUAUGCUUUUUAUUCAAUCUUUUUGUGUGCUUUCCAAAACUGUCAGAAUCCCCAUUAAUAUCUUAUUUGACUUAUGCUUUUAUAGCCACUAUUUACAACAUAUUUUGGGGAGAAAUCUUUUAUUUCUUCCCAUUUUUGUUUAUUUACUGCUGUUUCUUUCUCUUUUUGCAGGUAUUCGUGAGGACGGUGUAGCACCGGCGUUGAUUUGGCCGUAAACCACGGCCUGAUUCGAAGCCUGCAAUCUCAGCUCGAACAGGCGCGUUGAUUGCAGCGUGAUUCGGGGCCAGAAUCCCAGGGUGAAACGAAAAGACGCGACAGUUGGGAUUUUGGCAGCUGGAACAUCGCGAGACAAAUCGACAUCUGAUUGCGGCGCAAACCCUAACUAGGGUUCCAUGAUGCUGAAGACAGAUUGGGCCGAUUAAGUUUUAGGUUUAGAGUAUCAAGGGUAGGGUGUAAAUGGGUCUGCUGGGUAUUUUAAGUUUUGGGCCUACGGGCUAUUGGUAUUUGGGCUCUGUAUACGGACUGUUUAAAUAAAUAA
rnacentral:lncRNA from 1 species